rnacentral:tRNA from 1 species
AAUAAGAAAUUUUCAUAAGUUCAAACAUAAAAUUGUUACUUUUAUUAGAAUAGCUUAAGU